rnacentral:tRNA from 1 species
GCUUUGGUGGUUCAGUGGUAGAAUUCUCGCCUUCUGUGCAGGAGACCCAGAUUCGAUUCCAGGCCAAUGCA